UACGUAGGGGGCUAGCGUUGUCCGGAAUCAUUGGGCGUAAAGCGCGUGUAGGCGGCCCGGUAAGUCCGCUGUGAAAGUCGGGGGCUCAACCCUCGGAUGCCGGUGGAUACUGUCGGGCUAGAGUGCGGUAGAGGCGAGUGGAAUUCCUGGUGUAGCGGUGAAAUGCGCAGAUAUCCGGAGGAACACCUAUUGCGAAGGCAGCUCGCUGGGACGUAACUGACGCUGAGACGCGAAAGCGUGGGGAGCAAACAGG
rnacentral:rRNA from 1 species